CCGCCGCACGCUCCGGUAGCCAACCGAGAAGCUCUCGGCGCAGAACACGCACCUCCGGGGACGCUACGGCUCCCAUAGCCGUCAUCGUUCUUGGAGCCGACGGGGACCUGAAUACGAACCUCAACGAGCCGUGUGAGGGUGCCGUUGUACCGGGCGCAAGCGGGUACAUGCCUGUGCUGCCAGAGCAAGUCCACUACGGCGAGUCAACGUAUAUGAAUCGCCAGGAGGACCUUAGUGCCGCUGCUCUCGAAAAAGCACUGGAGGAGUUGUCGCCAGCAGCGGAAGUGGAUGCAGGAAAAGAAGAUCCAGCUCUCAGAUGAACGCUGCUAGUCCGCCUCCGUGUUGUCUCCGGCCAGUGUGCCCGUUAUGUUCGGUCUUCCUCGUAUCAUCUCGCUGCUGCGUUGUCUAGGCCGUCGCAGGAUCCCACAUUUUAUUAUGCUCGCCUCUCUUCCUCCCCGGGCACGGCAUACGGCCGGCGGAGGAGCACGUACUAGCCGAUGCGCCUCUUAUUCUGUUGCUA